GAGAUCUCUUCAUAUUUUAUCAGCAAAAACGCCAUAGAAGGUCUGAAGAAAGCUGGGUUUUCAUAUUUUUACACCAUAUCGAGAACCUGAAACAAGUCGAGGAAAAGAAAAAGUAGCUGAUUAGUCCCUGAACUUUUACGAAUUCAGCAAAUUGACCCAGAUUGAUAUAUAUAUAUAUAUAUACGUUCGGAGGAUCGGAUCUACAUCAACGAUCACACUAUCCAGAUUUACUCCGGUAGAUUUUGUUAAACAACUUUUUGGAUUUAUAUGGCAUGUAUAGGGAAUUGAAAUAAAAAGUAUUAGUAUGAAUGACUAAGUAUGCAAAAUAAAUUUGAAUGUUAUGGUUGUGUUAGAUAUCGAAAUAUAUACAUGUUUUUAAUUUGAAAUGGUUGAUUGGUUGAA